UACAGAGGGUGCGAGCGUUAAUCGGAAUUACUGGGCGUAAAGCGUGCGUAGACGGUAGCGUAAGUCAGAUGUGAAAGCCCCGGGCUCAACCUGGGAAUUGCAUUUGAGACUGCUCUGCUCGGGUGCGGAAGAGGGAAGCGGAAUUUCCGGUGUAGCGGUGAAAUGCGUAGAUAUCGGAAGGAACACCAGUGGCGAAAGCGGCUUCCUGGUCUGCAACUGACGCUGUGGCGCGAAAGCUAGGGGAGCGAAUGGG
rnacentral:rRNA from 1 species